AAAAUGUGAAGGACGCUGUACAAAAAACAAACCAAGGAAAGGCAUCUGGUUCACAGAUGGUAACUGCCAUGGGCGAACAGCUCAAGAGAUCCCUACAGGCUGAGAGAACCUCCAAGCCCUCAGAAGAGGUGACAUCUGAAUCACCUCAACACUCUUCAGAUUCUGAUGUCACCUCGAUUGACCUGUUUGAGCCGAUCAAAAAGCAACCAUUUAGAUGCCAAGAUUGGUGGCUACCAUGAAGACAGCACUGGACAACAUUUCAGGGUCGUCCUCAUCAGGAUCUUGUUCCAGUAGUGGCCACGGUGACUCCCAGCAAACUGGCCGCAAUACUGGCAGUAAUGACUUGAUGUUCCUAGGCAACUCCUCCGUCCAGGUCUCCACACGCCUCUUCCACAGAUUAGGCAACAGAA